rnacentral:rRNA from 1 species
UACAGAGGUCCCGAGCGUUGUUCGGAUUCACUGGGCGUAAAGGGUGCGUAGGUGGCCUGAAAAGUUUGAUGUGAAAGCUCAGGGCUUAACCCUGAAAUGGCAUUGAAUACUGUCGGGCUGGAGGUUUGGAGGGGGGACUGGAAUUCUUGGUGUAGCAGUGAAAUGCGUAGAUAUCAAGAGGAACACCAGUGGCGAAGGCGGGUCUCUGGGCCGUUACUGACGCUGAGGAGCGAAAGCGUGGGGAGCGAACAGG